rnacentral:sRNA from 1 species
GCUCCGCCGUGGUCACGGCCCGGCGGGCCGGCCAGCUUACUUGUGGUCAGCCGUGCUGUCCUGCUUCGGCAAAUACCCUUGGGGGUCUGGUAGAGCGCCUAGUAGCCGCCGUGUUGCGGUGAACGGCGCGGCCAGC